ACGGUUGCUAAUACCGCAUAAUGCAGCGGCACCUAAUGGUGACAGUUGUUAAAGCGGGGGAUCGAAAGACCUCGCGUCUAAAGAGGAGCCUGCGGCGGAUUAGCUAGUUGGUAAGGUAACGGCUUACCAAGGCUACGAUCCGUAGCCGGCCUGAGAGGGCGGUCGGCCACACUGACACUGACAUACGGGUCAGACUCCUACGGGAGGCAGCAGUCGGGAAUUUUGGGCAAUGGGCGAAAGCCUGACCCAGCAACGCCGCGUGAAGGAUGAAAUCCCUCGGGAUGUAAACUUCGCAAGAACGGGAAGAAUAAGUAGGGGACAAUACCCCCUAUGAUGACGGUACCGUUUGUAAGCUCCGGCUAACUCCGUGCCAGCAGCCGCGGUAAUACGGGGGGAGCAAGCGUUGUUCGGAUUUACUGGGCGUAAAGGGCGCGUAGGCGGCCAGCACAAGUCAGUUGUGAAAUCUCCGAGCUUAACUCGGAAAGGUCAACUGAUACUGUGCGGCUAGAGUGCAGAAGGGGCAACUGGAAUUCUUGGUGUAGCGGUGAAAUGCGUAGAUAUCAAGAGGAACACCUGCGGCGAAGGCGGGUUGCUGGGCUGACACUGACGCUGAGGCGCGAAAGUAGGGGAGCGACG
rnacentral:rRNA from 1 species